GACGAACGCUGGCGGCGUGCUUAACACAUGCAAGUCGAACGAUGAAGCCGCUUCGGUGGUGGAUUAGUGGCGAACGGGUGAGUAACACGUGGGUAAUCUGCCCUGCACUCUGGGAUAAGCCUUGGAAACGAGGUCUAAUACCGGAUACGACACACGAAGGCAUCUUCUGUGUGUGGAAAGUUCCGGCGGUGCAGGAUGAGCCCGCGGCCUAUCAGCUUGUUGGUGGGGUAGUGGCCUACCAAGGCGACGACGGGUAGCCGGCCUGAGAGGGUGACCGGCCACACUGGGACUGAGACACGGCCCAGACUCCUACGGGAGGCAGCAGUGGGGAAUCUUGCGCAAUGGGCGAAAGCCUGACGCAGCAACGCCGCGUGGGGGAUGUCGGCCUUCGGGUUGUAAACCUCUUUCGACAGGGACGAAGCUUUCGGGUGACGGUACCUGUAGAAGAAGCACCGGCUAACUACGUGCCAGCCGCCGCGGUAAGAC
rnacentral:rRNA from 1 species